rnacentral:rRNA from 1 species
CUGAUUCAGGGAGGUAGCGACAAGAAAUAACGAUAGUGGGCUCGUUCGAGUCCGCGCAUCGGAAUGAGGAUAAUUUACACCCCUUCUCGAGGAUCCAUUGGAGGGCAAGCCUGGUGCCAGCAGCCGCGGUAAUUCCAGCUCCAAUAGCGUAUACUAAAGUUGUUGCAGUUAAAAAGCUCGUAGUCGAAUGAAGGUUUCUUGUAUAGCGCGGACGUCUAGGUGUAACUUAGAUUAGUUUGCGCACAAGAACCUCCCUUGUGUGUCUCAGAGGAGCAAAUAUUUAUUUAUUUUGAUCCAUUUGCGACACACACAUUACUGUGAACAAAAUAGAGUGUUCAUGGCAGGUCAAUUUAGGCUUGAAUACCUCAGCAUGGAAUAAUAGAAUAGGACUUCCGGUUCUAUUUUGUUGGUUUUUGGAGCCGAAGUAAUGAUUAAUAGGGAUAGUUGGGGGCACUCGUACUCCGUUGUCAGAGGUGAAAUUCUAGGAUUGACGGAAGACGAACAA